rnacentral:pre_miRNA from 1 species
AGGAUGGUCUGUGCCGCGGUCCUUCUGUGUCUUGGCUUGAACAAGGGCUCGUGCCCAGGUCCCAGCCUCAAACGGCGCGGGUCGGGGCCUGCGUUACCCCGAUACGCUGAUACGGAUACGGAUACGCGAUACGGUGUUACCG